rnacentral:rRNA from 1 species
UACGCAGGGGGCUAGCGUUGUUCGGAAUUACUGGGCGUAAAGCGCGCGCAGGCGGUUCUUUAAGUCAGGGGUGAAAGCCCAGAGCUCAACUCUGGAACUGCCCUUGAAACUAGAGAACUUGGGUACGGGAGAGGUGAGUGGAAUUCCGAGUGUAGAGGUGAAAUUCGUAGAUAUUCGGAAGAGCACCAGUGGCGAAGGCGGCUCACUGGCCCGUUACCGACGCUCAGGCGCGACAGCGUGGGGAGCAAACAGG